rnacentral:rRNA from 1 species
CAAAGCACUUUGAAGAGAGAGUUUAAGAGGACGUGAAACCGCUGAGGUGGAAACGGAUAGAGCCGGCGUAUCUGGCCUGUAUUCAGCCGCGAAGCUGCUUGGGGCGAGGCGGAGCUUUCCAGACUGGGACUUCGUUACGUCUACUUGUGUGGCCAAGUGGUGCAUUUGCAGGUGGAGUGCGCCGAGGCUCCUGGGGCGGCUUCGUGAGCCUGGUUUUGAGGCCAGCUUGCUGGUACCCGGACUGGAGGAGUGAUGUUCGCCCUGGGUGUUGGGCAAGGCAAUACGGGCUCGGUUGGGUGCCGAGCUGGCGGUCGGAGGCGGUCACAUGUGACACGUGCCGCGCAGUCAGUUCGGUCCUGGCCGAGCUCACAAGCCCGUUCUCGGUGUAAAAGCUGGUCAUCUAUCCGACCCGUCUUGAAACACGGACCAAGGAGUUUAUCGUGUGCGCGAGUCAUUGGGCGUUGAAAACCCAAAGGCGUAAUGAAAGUGAAGAAGGCGGCUUGCCGUCGAUCGUGCGAACCCGGGUCCCUCGGGGCCCGGGCGCAGCAUGGCCCCAUCCCGAUUGCUUGCAAUGGGAUGGAGGAUGAGCGUACGCGACGAGACCCGAAAGAUGGUGAACUAUUCCUGAGCAGGAUGAAGUCAGAGGAAACUCUGAUGAAAGUCCGAAGCGAUUCUGACGUGCAAAUCGAUCGUCUGACUUGGGUAUAGGGGCGAAAGACUAAUCGAACCAUC